rnacentral:lncRNA from 1 species
CCGGCCUCGGGGUGCUCGGCGGGGCGCCGGCGGCGAGGGGAGCCGAGCAGGAGCCGUCUCGGUCCCGGUGCGGCCGCGGGCAGCGCGGAGCUUGCCCCGCCGCGCCCUGCCCCGCCGUGUGUCCCUGCUGCGGGCGGGCGGCGCGGCGUGCCCGGGGACUGCGGCGCGGGCUCUCCGGAUCAGAGAACACACAUAUUACACACCCUGGAGCUGAGGCACAGAAGCUGAAAGACUCAUUCAGUGCUGCAUAAGAAAUGUUUGACUGCAGAUCAAGAUCCAUUGUUGGUUGUGAAAAGCAUUACCACCACCAAUGAAUGGCUUGAUCUUCACUCUCAGCU